GAUUUUGCAGGACUUUGCAAUGAUGUUUGGAGUAGAGACUGCUUCCAGGUUCCUGGAAAAAUGGAACACCAGUUUUAAAGAUAAGGUUGCCAGGGAAGCCAGAGACCUUAAAGAGACUUGUCUUCUGAAAAGAUUGCUGAAAUCUGCCUUGAACGAAGAAAUGGAUGAUGCUGAUGAGCCAGAGUGGGACAGCGACAUGGCUUCUCUUCUUGUUCUGCUGCACCUUCUCACGCCACAACCAGCUGGAAGGAAACGGCCAAAGAAGAUGAGUGUUGGAGAGGCAAUAGAUCAUCUGGUUAAAUUUCACAAGUCCUGCCAGAGCCUUGAGGAUCACCUCAUGAACAAUGAAGGAAACCCUCAG
ensembl:lncRNA